UUGGAGGGCAAGUCUGGUGCCAGCAGCCGCGGUAAUUCCAGCUCCAAUAGCGUAUAUUAAAGUUGUUGCAGUUAAAAAGCUCGUAGUUGAAUUUCGGGAUUGACGUGACGGUCGUGCCUUAAGGGGUAUGAACUGUCGCUGUUGAUUUCUCACCUUCUGGAGAAUCUCGAUGCCCUUUAUUGGGUGUCUUGUGGAUCCAGGACCUUUACCUUGAAAAAAUUAGAGUGUUUAAAGCAGGCAUUUUUGCUCGAAUACAUUAGCAUGGAAUAAUAGAAUAGGACGGCUUGGUUCUAUUUUGUUGGUUUCUAGGAUCACCGUAAUGAUUAAUAGGGAUAGUUGGGGGCAUUAGUAUUCAAUUGUCAGAGGUGAAAUUCUUGGAUUUAUUGAAGACUAACUACUGCGAAAGCAUUUGCCAAGGAUGUUUUCAUUAAUCAAGAACGAAAGUUAGGGGAUCGAAGACGAUCAGAUACCGUCGUAGUCUUAACCAUAAACUAUGCCGACUAGGAAUCAGACGAUGUUAAUUUUUUAAUGACUCGUUUGGCACCUUAUGGGAAACCAAAG
rnacentral:rRNA from 1 species